rnacentral:rRNA from 1 species
UUCGGAUUAAUGCUCCAUGAGACCACAAUAGCGCAUGAUAUAGUGGUAAAAGCUCAAGCGGUCAAAGAUGGGCAUGCGUGCCAUUAGUUAGUUGGUGAGGUUACGGCUCACCAAGACAACGAUGGCUAGGGGGUCUGAGAGGAUGAUCCCCCACAGUGGUACUGAGACACGGACCAGACUCCUACAGGAGGCAGCAGUGAGGAAUAUUGGUCAAUGGACGCAAGUCUGAACCAGCCAUGCCGCGUGCAGGAUGAAUGCCCUAUGGGUUGUAAACUGCUUUUCUACAAGAAGAAACUUCCUGAUGUAUCAGGAACUGACGGUAUUGUAGGAAUAAGCAUCGGCUAACUCCGUGCCAGCAGACGCGGUAAUACGGAGGAUGCAAGCGUUAUCCGGAUUCAUUGGGUUUAAAGGGUGCGUUAGGCGGAGUAGUAAGUCAGUGGUGAAAGCCUGCGGCUUAACCGUAGAAUUGGCCAUUGAUACUGCUAGUCUUGAGUGCAGUUGAGGUAGGCGGAAUGUGUAAUGUACCGGUGAAAUGCUUAGAUAGUACACAGAACACCGAUCGCGUAGGCAGCUUACUAAACUGUAACUGACGCUGAGGCACGAAAGCGUGGGGAGCGAACAGGAUUAGAUACCCUGGUAGUCCACGCUGUAAACUAUGAUCACUCGCUGUUGGCGAUACAUUGUCAGCGGCUGAGCGAAAGCAUUAAGUGAUCCACCUGGGGAGUACGNCCGCAAGGUUGAAACUCAAAGGAAUUGACGGGGGCCCGCACAAGCGGUGGAACAUGUGGUUUAAUUCGAUGAUACGCGAGGAACCUUACCUGGGCUUAAAUGCAGAACGGCGUACCGGGAAACUGGUACUCCCUUCGGGGCGGACUGCAAGGUGCUGCAUGGUUGUCGUCAGCUCGUGCCGUGAGGUGUCGGGUUAAGUCCCAUAACGAGCGCAACCCUCAUUGUUAGUUGCCAGCGAGUAAUGUCGGGGACUCUAACGAAACUGCCGGUGUCCCACCGUGAGGAAGGUGGGGAUGACGUCAAAUCAGCACGGCCCUUAUGUCCAGGGCUACACACGUGUUACAAUGGCCAGUACAAAGGGCAGCUACCACGCGAG